AAAGUCCCAGGCCUCCCACCAGGGAGCACCUGACCUCUCUGCUCCCUGAGAGGAGUGAAAAUGUUAAAAGUUCCCAGAUCCCAGGGACUUUUAGGCUGCUCCCACCACAGAGCUGGCCAGCGCAGAGAAAUGCUAGGGGGUCUGGGUCCUGGGAAGCUCUGGGAUGAACAUGACUCCUGAGCACAGACACCCCCCUGACAGAGCUCUCUUUGGUUUCACUAUGCAAGCUGACUCUCCCCACCUGAUGAGCCAGUGGGAUUAGCAGGAACCGAGUGGACUACAGCCACCACCCGCAUCCUGUGCCCAUCGAUGAACUGGAGCGGAGAAGAGGACUGAUCUCAUUACUUGGCCUGGCUGGACGUGCUGACCCUCAGGAUCACAGGCAGUGGAAGGAGCAGCUCCUGGAAGGUCAGAGUGGGUCCUGUGACAGAUGGAAACGACAAUCCAACAGCCUGCAAGCAACAGAAUCCUGCCAGCAACACAGAAGCAAGCAUGGAAGCAGCUCCUCCCCUGAUGAGCCUGAGCCUUCAGAAGACACGGCAGCCCUGGGCAGACACCUGCUGCAGCCGCGGAGAGCCCCUGGGGCAGAGGACCCAGUGAAGCCUGAACUCCUGGCCCAAGGAGUAAUCAUUCCUGGGGUAUAAGUGUGUGCUAGUGUGGGCCACACUUUGGAGUAAUUUGUCAAGGGACAAUAAAGAACAAACACACACCUCAGGUCCUACUGGGUCAAAGCUGUACGGUCCGCACGGCAUGUAAUAUCUUCCUCUUGAAUUAGAAGAUUCAUUGCUAAGACCCAAGAUUUAAAAACAAAAACAAAAACAAAAAACCUCUAGUUGUAGCACCAUUAAAAUACAUGACUUGCAAAAAAAAAAAAAAAAAAAAAAAAGCCAUAGCUAUUCUUUUGCAUCUUAGCUACAGGUAUAUAUUAAUAUAUGUUAAUUCCUUGACUGACUGAGCAAUGGGCCAAACUCAUGAGAACAGAUGUGUGAGGACGGUCAGUGACCACCCUGACCCCAGCCCUUACAUACAGACAAACUUUUGAAUAUAAUCUGUAACCUUGGGGGUCUUGACACUCUAAAUUUUAUUGUUUUUAAUUAACUAUUUCUAUUCCCUAAACAAUACCUGUUCAUUGGAGAGAAAAAUGGCAUUACCUAUACUAAGCAAAAGAAAUAAAAUGCUCAGAAACAUUUACAUAUGUAUGCAGACUCACACACAUACACACACACAUGCACACACAGGCUCACACUGUGUCUAGGCCUGCCUUUUCACUUAUUUGUAUGUCCUGAACAUAUUUCCAUGUCAGUAGACACUUAUCUUCGUAGCGAUAACAGCAAUUAACUAUUACUGCAGCGUCUAUUUUUACCAUCAUUUAUUUAACUCAUCAUGUUUGAACUGUUAGGUUGUAUCUAUCGUUUUCUGUAUUACAAUUUGAUGACAAAUGAUCAAUCCCCUAAUGUUCAAUAUAAAAAUAUCAAUUGUAUAAGGGGAUAAGGGGAAUUUGGCUAAAAUAAUAUUCAGUGUGCUCCACCUUCUCCACAUGUAGUAUGCUCUAAAAAGGCAUGAAUAAUUAAAUUAGCCCUUCUAUUUUCCAGCACAGAUCCUGAGCCCAGCAGUGGGUGCAGGUGCUUAGAGCCUCGGUCUGCUCUUCUGCCCGCCAGAAGGCAAAGGCCACUCAACUGCCACCUUAAGACACCCAGGAUUCUCCUCUCCUUUUUUAUUAAUAGAGUAAUGCUCAGGCUCAGUGCAUGAGAGCAGCGCUCUCUGACUUUGCAUUCAUCAGAGUAACCUAGGGGGCUUGUUUAAAAAUACACAUUCCUGGCCAG